UAGUGGCACAGACACUAGGGGUCAUAAUUGACCUCUAGUGUCUAUGCUGUUCUAUGGGAGAGACGUAAUAACGUCUCUCCCAUAGAUCGAAGAGAGGAGAGGAGAAGAGCGGCGCCGCCGGCGGAGGGGUCUGCAGCGGUCUGGAUCAGGAACGGGGAUGGGUCUAAAUCUCACAUUUACUAACAGAUGAUUUUUGACAGUAGGUGGUUACCUACUAUAAGUACGGGAUGUCAGCAGUCAGAAGACCGGCGCUGGGAUCUCGACAUCUGUAAGAAUGCCGAUGUUGGUAUCCUGACAGCUGGAAUCUCAAACGUAGGCUGACAGCACUGUGCUUUGGAGUUGUGUGUGUGUGUGUGUGUGUGUGUUUGCGCCACGUUUCAGCAGUUACCUCUUCUGUCUUCAUAUCCAGGCAAACCCACCAUGCACCUACACAGAAACCAAGAGGGGGGAGACUCCUGUAUAUAAGAGGAACCCCUGAGACUGGUCCAGUAUCUCAUAUACAAAGACUUUAAGCAGAGAAGAGACAACUACACUUGUCUACAGGAGAAUGAUGAAGCUUGGCGCAGUCCUUCUCGUCCUGGCAAUUGCUGCCCAGUCUCUCUGUGUCUACGGAGCUCCAAAGUGUGGUGCGCACCAAAUGAUGAGCAGCUGUGAUGGUCCGUGUACACUCAACUGUCACUCUAUGAAACAUCCCAAAUCCUGCCUGGAGCUCUGCAGUCCUGGGUGUGUCUGCCAAAGUCCGUACAUUGCUGUAUCCAGCACAGAUAAGACCUGUGUUCUACGAUCCAAGUGCCCGUAGGACUUUCUGAAGAAGGAAACUGGGACAUAGAUGUGACAUGAGGAUCUCCCGCUGUCGUCUUGUUACUUUGUUCUGCAAUUUGUAUAUAUGUAAUGCAUUAUGUGACCUGUUCCAGAUAAUCCUGCUUAUCCAGAUACAUAACGAAUUGGACAUCUAGGAAAAUAAUUCUGUGAAAAAAUAAAAAAAAGCAAAAUAUUCAGUAAUAA